rnacentral:rRNA from 1 species
ACGGGAGGCAGCAGUGGGGAAUAUUGCACAAUGGGGGAAACCCUGAUGCAGCAACGCCGCGUGAAGGAAGACGGUUUUCGGAUUGUAAACUUCUGUUCUUAGUGAAGAAACAUGACGGUAGCUAAGGAGCAAGCCACGGCUAACUACGUGCCAGCAGCCGCGGUAAUACGUAGGUGGCAAGCGUUGUCCGGAAUUACUGGGUGUAAAGGGAGCGUAGGCGGGUAGCCAAGUCAGCUGUGAAAACUACGGGCUUAACUUGUAGACUGCAGUUGAAACUGGUUAUCUUGAGUGAAGUAGAGGUUGGCGGAAUUCCGAGUGUAGCGGUGAAAUGCGUAGAUAUUCGGAGGAACACCGGUGGCGAAGGCGGCCAACUGGGCUUUAACUGACGCUGAGGCUCGAAAGUGUGGGGAGCAAACAGGAUUAGAUACCCUGGUA